rnacentral:lncRNA from 1 species
UCUAGAUAGCCAAAAGAGGGACAGCUUUUCACAAGUGUCCAGUGGUUACAGUGGAGAAUGCUGAAGUGGGCCAAGUAGAAUGAGAUCCUGUUGGAUUUGGAAAGGUCACUAGUGACUUGCCCAGAACGUUUCAGUUUCAUGGGGAAGGCAGAAAGUCAUUUCCAGAGGCUGAAGGGUGACUACCAGGUGAGAGGCAGCAGUGGGUGUGGGGUACUUUGAGCAAUAUACAGUGGUAGAUGGAAGGAGACAGUUCAGAAAUGGGGGCAUGCGAAGUUUCCAGAGUGUUUGCAAGUGAGAAGACAAGAGUCAAAGGGUAGGAGAGAUCAUAAUUGACAAUGAGCAAUAUCUUCAUCCAUGAAUGCCCUUAUUUUCCAAGCAAGAGGUUUGGAGCAGGAAUCUCAGUACUGUCUGAACUGGGAAUAUCAGAAUAUCUGCAACCAUGAGCCAUAAUUCUAGAACCAAAACUGUUCCUGGAUGGUAAAUUAGCUGUGCUAAUUGUGGAAGCUAUGUUCAGAGCUUUGGGCCAUGAAGGUGGUGCUUUUGCUCUCUAGAAGAAGUAAUUUAGCCUCUAGGUGAGAUAGGAAAUCAAGGAAUGAUGCAUAUGUGCUUAAAACAAAUAUUGAUGCCUCCAUUCUGCACCAUAACUACCCUCUUAGAGAGAGAGAGAUUAUCGAAUAAUCCCUGGGCCUGGUAGAUUCUGACUGCAAGCUGGGCACUGGGCCAGUACAGCUUGUCAAACCAGGUUACACGGGAAUGUGCCCAGGGCUGCUGAGAAUAGGCAGUUCUGAUCAGUGUGUAUGGGCUUGUUAGACUCAGGCUGGUUUUUGCUUUCCUUUGAAAGGGACACCUGAGCCUCUUGUGUAGCCAAAAGAUGCUGCGGUUGCUAAUCUCUGCUCAAGAUGGGUCGAGAAAAAUGUUUUUCGAGAACAGCCACCACUGUCUCUUUCCAGGCCAGCCUUAGGAGUUCUUGGACUUGGAAGAGAACCCAGGAGUCCCACCCAGCAGAAUUCUCAAUUUGCAAUCGCAUGCAUACGUGUACCUUGCUUCCACUUCCAGUGACAGGGGCCCAUCCUGUCUUCCUGUCUUCCACCCACCUAAGUCUCUUGAUAUCCAGAGCCACACUGACUAUGCUGAAUCCAGCUCCCACAUGACGGCCUUUCCAAUAAGAAUCCCUGAGUCUGCUCUUCAGGCAAGGAACUAGGUCCUCCCUCAUUGCCUCAAGUGGUACCAUUUUGAGAUCUUUCUUCUUCAUGGCCUAGAACCAUCCUCAGCUUGUUCCCUUUUUCACUUACAGUGGAGAGCUUAAAACAAAGAACAUCCUUCCCCCUGUGUCCUACCCUCAACAUUGGCAUAGAAUGAAUUUCAUCUUCUUUGUUGAGGCCUUUAUACUUCUGUUGAUAUAGCCAGCACAUGGUAGCUUUAACUUUAUUUGGUGAUCUUAUCAGAACUUUGGCUCAUACCAAACGUCACAUCCACUAACCUCUCACACCCUGGCUUUUCCAUGUGGCACCUCAGUUGUGUCUGUCAGUGCUGUGACACCACCCCCAACUCACAUCCCCACCAAAACCAGGAGUUGUAUUGACCCCAUUUAACUUUGUCUUGUUGGAUCUGGAUCGUCUUUCUGACUAGUCCACUCAAGAAUCAAGAAAUAUGGACUCUCCUAAGCUGUUCUUGAGGUCAGGUACAGUCCCUCUUAUCCACCUAUUGCAGCAUAUUGACUUUUACCUAAAAAAAUCCAAUAUGUGAUUUUUUUAAACCAAAAAUUACCAACCCACUAAAUUCCAUAUUCUGACCUAUUUUCUGCUCACACAGGCAGUGGCUUGGAAGUGAAGACCAUGGUGGAGAGGGUCAGAAACAGGAAUUCUUCAGUUCCUUUUCUUUCUUUUUAGGAGUUUAAUAAUUUUUUCUCAGGAAUCUAGUUAUAGUCUUUAAAAUUUAAAAUGUAAUUUAUUUUUCUUUUUAAUUAUUUUUGAGAGAGAGAGAGAUAGAGAGAGAGAAAGAGAAAAUCUUAAGCUAGCUCCAUGCUCAGUGCAGAGCCCGACAUGGGGCUUGAUCCCACAACCCUAGAAUCAUGACCUGAGCCGAAAUCAAGAGUUGAACACUUAACGACUGAGCCACUCAGGUGCCUCAUAAUUUAUUUUUCUAUCACUUACUAUCUAAUGGAAGCUGAGAAUGCGGAAGAGGAGCAAGAAGUCGGUGUGUAAUAGAGGGCAUUGGAUUAGAAGCUAGGCUGGCUUUAUGGGCAUGCUACCUGUGCAGAUAUACUGGGCCCUGUGCCUGGAUUAAUGUUUUGUUGUUGCCAUCUUGAAAUUCUUAGUUUUUGAACAAGGGGACUCACAUUUCUGUGUUGCAGUGGACCUAACCAGUCUUGCAGUUGAUCCAUCCUGACUAGAAGUAUCUUUCCUCACCCUUCUCCUCAAUCUUGGCAUAUUGCUUCACCUCAUAUCCCCUAUAAGUAAAAUGAGGGGGUUUCCAUCUCAGGAAGUCUAUGAGUCUAAAACAAAAAAAGGUAGAAAAAGGGACCAAUGAGCUCUGUCAAGAAUUAUGGAUGGAACCGAAGCUUCACAUAAGGUCUUUAUAAGCUUUCUGGUCCAGGUCUCUCAUUUUAUAUUGGAGGAAACUCAGUUCUUAAAAGGGAAGUGGUCUCCUCAAGUCCCAUAACACAUUGAAUAGAGUUGUCUAUGGGUGAAUCUCCUCCCUAGAGGAGCCCACCAGGAAGGUGAUGGGUGUAGGUAAGGAAGUGGCCAAUGAUGGGCAGGGAGAGUGAGAUCAGACGAUUUCUUCCUGACUCUAGCGCCUGCCUUCUCCUACUCCCUGGAACACACAUACUUAUUUGGUAUAGAAUUAAGUGGUUUUGGUGCGAAGUUCCCAUGAUAAAUCCAAGCCAUCCAGAGUCCUAGGUAGAAAAUUGAGCACAGUGUUAUAGAGGAGCAUGCAGACCGCUGCCCAGGCUGCACAUGCUUUGGGGACUCCCAGGGCCAUCCUGCCCUUUGAAAAAGUACCAUGUGGGCCCUCUCUCCUCUUAAUGCUGUUUCUGUCUUCCACCUCCUGGUAGUCCUCUGCCUUUCCCAUGAUUCUCAAAUGCCUAUCUCCAUCUGUCUCCUUCUUUUCCCAUGAUGACUCUUCCUUUGGAAACUUAAAGCCCCCACUCCUCUCUAGUGUCAUGAAAAUAUUCGUGGCUCUUGGCCUCUGCUCUGAGUGCAAGCUUUUCCUCAACCAACUUUCUCUGCUGCUGGGGUGACAUGUGGGGCUAAGGUCAAAGGGAAGAAAGAUAUGAAGGUAUGAGGAGGGGACCACUCCACAGUUUACUUUUUCCUCCAGCUAUCUUGAAAAUACAAUUUCACAUAGCAAAGCCUUGUUUCCUGCUUGAAACCCUCCUUAGAUCUCUCUACCAGUUUCAUAUUCCUCCUGCUAGAGAGAUUUGACUAUGUAAUUCUAAAAGACCCUUCUCCUUUCCCACAAACCCUUAGUCAUCCUCCUUCAUUCCAUCACUGGGCCCUCAUUAAGGCAUGUGAGCUGACCUCUUCACUUGGAUCAGGCUCCUCAACUCUUAUUGGAGGUGCUCCAAUUUAGCUGCUCUUCUAGUUUCUGGAACGUGCCCUGCAUUUUCAGCAUAAGGCUUAUGCCUUGAACAAUUCCCACCUCACCUUUUCCCCAAUGCAGUUCCUCAUUGAAGGCUUCUUUGACCAUCAGAUUAAUUUAAGUGUCCCUGGUGUUUAUUCUCACUGUUGUACUACUUAUGGCUCACUUCUAAUCAUGCUUGUGUCCAAUAUAAUUGUGACUGUUUUGUCUGAUGUUUAUGUUCCUCACAAAACUCAAACACAAAGGGCUAAAAUUUACUGAGAGUUUACUAUAUCCCAGGGACUUUAGGUAUGUUAUUUAAUGUUUAAAAUAACUGUAAGAAGUAGAUAAUAUCAUUUCCAUUUACAGAUGAGAACACCGAGGCAUAGAAAGAUUAAUUCAUUUAUUCAAAGUGAUGUGACUAGGUGUCAUAUUGGCAGUCACAUCAGACAGGUGGUUUGGCUCUGGAGCUGACACUCUUUAUCACUGGUUAUCUGCCGUGUCAGUAGGGGAUGCGGUUGUGCUGCUUACUGUGGUACCCUCCAUGCCUAACUCCUGGCAUACAGCACGUCUUCAAUAAACACAUGUUGACUUGUGGAAGUUGACCA